rnacentral:lncRNA from 1 species
CCCCGCUCAGCCCAUGCCUGCAGCCUGCAAGGCCGGAGGGCCCUGGCCCUGCCAGGGAGAUCAGAUCCUCUCGGCCACCUGCUGUUUUCACUAGAAACUAAAAUUAGCUGGGCUUGUCCCAAGCUUUUCCAGGUUUGCUUGCUUUUUUAAACAAAAUAUACAAAUUUCUCUAGGAGAAUCCCCACCUCUGUGACUCUUCCUGGGAUCUGACUCUGUGUGUCAAAAUGAGUGGAGAAGUGCUGGAAGUCUAAGCAGGGGAGCUGGUGGCUGACCUACGGCCAAGAAGGAGCCACUCGGACCUGAGCCUGGAUGGCUCCGGUGCUGUGCCAGGAGCCAGUGCUGGCUUCCUGGAGUGAGGUUCCAGGUUUCCAGUGAGUCCCUUGGCCUGCGCAGGACCUUCUAAAGGUCCAGUCUUGAAGAUACUGUGACUGACCCCCCAUACCCAUCCCUACCAGAGCAAGAGGGCAAACCUUGGUUCCUCCCUUUGCUCCAGCUGCUCAUCCUCUCCUGCACAGAAUGCCUGGUUAGGGGGAAUGGGGCUCCAGACCUGCUUUCAUCUGGAGCAGGUAGCAUUCUGAGAGCACAGUCAAGAGACCCGUGAUGGAGCUUCAGCUUUACCACCAAUAUGCUGUGUGACCCUGCAUAGUGCCUAAUGCUAGUGAAUGCCUGACAUGUUUGCAAGGGGCAGAGCAUGCACUCCCCUGUCUGGAGGCUCAGUGUUCCUGAAAACUCCCCAGCCCUGGUAUCUGUGAUUUGUCCUUGAAGCCUGGGGUUCCAGGACAGCAGGGCACCCCUGAUUCCGAAGGAAUACUCUGCUGUCUCCAGCUUUGGGGAAAAAUUUCCUGGGAUCUCAUCCUAGGAUUACAAGGCUGAUGCCAUGAACAGAGGGAGAAAUAGAGGUUGAAGGAAUCUUCAGAGUCCCAGUAGGAAAGAGGCCCCACUAGGCCCAUCAGUAAUUCCCUGCUGUGUGAAUGGGCCCCCUCAAAGAAUGCAUGUGAGCUGUGUGUGGGGGGGUUCCUUCCCUCCCAAGGACACAUCGACCCUCCUCCCACUGCCUCCCUUCCUCUCUCUCCUUGGAGAUCAGGUCUUCUCUGCUGCUGCAGGGGUUCUGACUUGGCUCUGGCUUGGUGGAG